ensembl:snoRNA SNORD10 small nucleolar RNA, C/D box 10
GCUCUGUGAUGAACCCCAUGCGUGUCAGCUGAGCCUGGCUCCCCUGUCAUCUCAGCCCAGGCAGUGUUCUACUUCCCAGGGCUAUUUGGCCUGGCAAGGGGGCUCCCAGGCAAAGGAUCAGUCUUUAUAUUCUGAGAGC